rnacentral:rRNA from 1 species
UACGAAGGGGGCUAGCGUUGCUCGGAAUCACUGGGCGUAAAGGGUGCGUAGGCGGGUCUUUAAGUCCGAGGUGAAAUCCUGGAGCUCAACUCCAGAACUGCCUUUGAUACUGAAGAUCUUGAGUUCGGGAGAGGUGAGUGGAACUGCGAGUGUAGAGGUGAAAUUCGUAGAUAUUCGCAAGAACACCGGUGGCGAAGGCGGCCCACUGGUCCGGUACUGACGCUGAGGUGCGAAAGCGUGGGGAGCAAACAGG